AUUGAACGCUGGCGGCAGGCCUAACACAUGCAAGUCGGACGGUAGCACAGAGGAGCUUGCUCCUCGGGUGACGAGUGGCGGACGGGUGAGUAAUGUCUGGGGAUCUGCCCGAUAGAGGGGGAUAACCACUGGAAACGGUGGCUAAUACCGCAUAACGUCGCAAGACCAAAGAGGGGGACCUUCGGGCCUCUCACUAUCGGAUGAACCCAGAUGGGAUUAGCUAGUAGGCGGGGUAACGGCCCACCUAGGCGACGAUCCCUAGCUGGUCUGAGAGGAUGACCAGCCACACUGGAACUGAGACACGGUCCAGACUCCUACGGGAGGCAGCAGUGGGGAAUAUUGCACAAUGGGCGCAAGCCUGAUGCAGCCAUGCCGCGUGUAUGAAGAAGGCCUUCGGGUUGUAAAGUACUUUCAGCGGGGAGGAAGGCGAUGUGGUUAAUAACCGCAUUGAUUGACGUUACCCGCAGAAGAAGCACCGGCUAACUCCGUGCCAGCAGCCGCCGCGG
rnacentral:rRNA from 1 species